rnacentral:rRNA from 1 species
CAUGGAGUUUGAUCCUGGCUCAGGAUGAACGCUAGCGGCAGGCUUAACACAUGCAAGUCGAGGGGUAUAGUUCUUCGGAGCUAGAGACCGGCGCACGGAUGCGUAACGCGUAUGUAAUCUACCUUUUACAGAGGGAUAGCCCAGAGAAAUUUGGAUUAAUACCUCAUAGUAUUUUCGAAUCGCAUGAUUUGAUUAUUAAAGUUCCAACGGUAAAAGAUGAGUAUGCGUCCCAUUAGUUAGAUGGUAAGGUAACGGCUUACCAUGGCAACGAUGGGUAGGGGUCCUGAGAGGGAGAUCCCCCGACACUGGUACUGAGACACGGACCAGACUCCGUACGGGA